rnacentral:misc_RNA from 1 species
GGUCAAGGUCUUUUUCUUCUGCAGAAUUGCCACGCAAUGAUGCUGAUGGAGAUAGCUCCGACAUAUCUUGGGUAUCUGCAGCUUUCUUUGUUGUUGGUAUUUCAGAAACAUUCAACUGAUUCGGGAAUUUUUCUUCAUGGGAUACAUUUUGCAAAGCAACACCAUGAGAUGGAUGAGAUGUUUCACUAACAACGGGUACUAGUUUCCCAGCCUUCUUUCCGACUUUUACAGGUUUACUUGGAUUGUGUCCAUCAUCAUCCCCAACAUGGCUUUUUGCCAGAUCUUUUCUUCUCCUCUUUUUUGGUUGCUGAUUCUUUGGUGAAACUGGCUCAAUGCGCUCCAACUUUCCACGAUUGACAAAGAAACCAUCAUGCUUUAUUGCUGAGUUAUCAACCUGAAAAUAUUCAUCCAGCUCAGUAUCAUCUAUGAAAGAAUCUUCAGUGUCAUAUUCAUCGUCAUCUGGGAAAUCAUUAAGAUCUUCCUCAUCAUCACUUUGUUUGCCCACAUAUAAGCGUUCAAUCUUUUCUAUCACAGCAUUUAAACGAUUUCCAGGAGGUGCAUCCUUGACUUCCUUAUCAGCAGGUUGUCCCGGAGCUAAUCGAGCCUCGAGAGCAGGAUGCGGCACUGGAGUUUGAAUGCUAGCAGGAGCUCCAACCGGCAUCAUCGUUGGACCAGAACCGACAACAUUAACAUUAGACUUAUUAGCGUCCUUGAGAAGCUUCUUCCACGACACAAUUGUGGUCUCACCCGGCCUGAGCUCCACCGUAAACCUCCGCCGUCCUCCUGCAGCUUCAUAGGACGUGGACGCCCUCCCUACCGGUUCUCCACCAGUGAAGCCGCCGUCCAUUGGUGAUUGUAAACGAAAUUAGGGUUACGAUGUAUGAGAUUUAGAAGAUGAAGACAUGGAAAAGAGAGGGAAACACUGAUUCGAAACCCUAAAGAAGAGGAAAAUUU